rnacentral:rRNA from 1 species
AGUAAUGUCUGGGAAACUGCCUGAUGGAGGGGGAUAACUGCUGGAAACGGUAGCUAAUACCGCAUAACGUCGCAAGACCACAGAGGGGGACCUUCGGGCCUCUUGCCAUCGGAUGUGCCCAGAUGGGAUUAGCUAGUAGGUGGGGUAACGGCUCACCUAGGCGACGAUCCCUAGCUGGUCUGAGAGGAUGGCCAGCCACACUGGAACUGAGACACGGUCCAG